GGGGCCGUGGUCAAGCGAUUUUUGGCGCCGGUGUUCGCACCACCGGAGACGCGGGUUUGAAUCCCGCCGGCCCCU
rnacentral:tRNA from 1 species